rnacentral:rRNA from 1 species
GACGUAGGGCGCGAGCGUUGUCCAGAUUUAUUGGGCGUAAAGAGCUCGUAGGCGGUUUGUCGCGUCUGCUGUGAAAACCCGGGGCUCAACCCCGGGCCUGCAGCCGAUACGGGCAGACUAGAGUUCGGCAGGGGAGACUGGAAUUCCUGGUGUAGCGGUGAAAUGCGCAGAUAUCAGGAGGAACACCGGUGGCGAAGGCGGGUCUCUGGGCCGAUACUGACGCUGAGGAGCGAAAGCGUGGGGAGCGAACAGG